ACUUUACUUCCGGUACUUAGCGGAAGCGCUCUCAGCUUGUACCACGUUGUGAGCGGCAAGCAGACUCACACACAGACAAAAUGUGUCUCUUCUAUUGUUCAUGUUUGCUGUAAAACGGAACCAGGCUUUAAAUGGAACAUUACAACCUUAAAGGGUACAUUGGAGGAGAAGGCCUGAUGUGACUCGUCAUGGAAGAGUUCUCGGCCUGAAACGCACCAUGUGGCAAAGAUGCCGCGUCUGAAAAUGGGAUUGUUGAUCCGUAUGAGGCGAAGCACUGAGAGAAGUCGUCAGCAAAUGGAUUAAUGGAAAAGUGCAGUAGAGCACAAUUGGUACAACUGAAAGUCCCAGCAUAGGUCCACAAGGGAAAGCAGGGCCUUGUGCCGAAGACUAGCACCAACUGCCUUUGAGGCAAAGCGCUACAGACUUUUGUAAUAAACUUGUGAAUGUCUCAA